rfam:Felis catus isolate Cinnamon breed Abyssinian chromosome A2, whole genome shotgun sequence.
GCCUGGGUGGCUCAGUCGGUUAAGCGUCCGACUUCAGCUCACGUCAUGAUCUCAGGGUCCGUGGGUUCAAGCCCCACAUCAGGCU